rnacentral:rRNA from 1 species
UACAGAGGGUGCGGGCGUUAAUCGGAAUUACUGGGCGUAAAGCGAGCGUAGUCGGUUAUUUAAGUCGGGUGUGAAAGCCCCGGGCUCAACCUGGGAAUUGCAUUCGAUACUGGAUAGCUAGAGUUCGGCAGAGGGAAGCGGAAUUUCCGGUGUAGCGGUGAAAUGCGUAGAUAUCGGAAGGAACAUCAGUGGCGAAGGCGACUGCCUGGCCCAACACUGACGCUGAGACGCGAAAGCUAGGGUAGCAAACGGG